rnacentral:lncRNA from 1 species
AAAAAAAACAGUCAACAAAAGUCUUAAUUAAGAAAUUAAGUUGCUGGAAGGGUGGGAGAAGAUUGGAAGAAAAGGUUCUCACAUGGAUAAACAGCUGUUUAACAAGAAAGAAAAGGUACAAACACAUGGUCUCAUUGCAGGCAGGUGUAGUGCUCAGGUUCAUGCCCUUCAACACAGCCACAACUGAUCUGGAGGUGGGAGUAAAUAAGCAAAGCGAUAAAGGUGGUUGCUGAUACUGAAUUACUGAAAGUUUUAAAUAAACAAACUGCAGAGAGCUCCAGAUGGACCUCAUGACACUGGUGACCUCAGGACUGACUGGUGAAAAAGUGACAGAUGAAAUUCAGCAUUGAUAAGUUUUGCAAUUAAUAUGAAAGAAAGUCUUCAACAGCAUACACAGUGAGUGACUUUUAACUGUCCACCAGCAGACAGGAAAGAUCACUGAUUUAAUACAAAUAGUAAUAAAAAUGUCAACUCAGUGAUUAAAAAUACACAAACACACAGACACACACACACACACACAAAAAAAAAAAAACAGAAGUCAUUAAGGUACAGAGAACAACAGAAUUGCUAUCCCACCAUAUAGACCAUUGCAUGUUUGCACAUUCACCUUCUGAAAACCUGCAACUGGAAAGUACCUUCCUGAUUUCCCCUAACUUGAAAGGACAGAGCAGAACAAGAAAAGGUUCAAACUAGAGCAGUGAAGACAACCAAACUUCUGGAAUGGUUUCUGCACAUAGGACAAUGAAAAGAGCUGCAAUUCUGACCAGAGAAAGGCCAUCAAGAAGGCCUAUGAAACCGUAAGAGACAUGACAAAGGCUUUCCAGAAACACCGGGCAGAUGGCAUCGGAGGGGACCACCGAGACCCCUGCUCCGGCAGGGCCGCCCCGAGCAGGGCACCCAGGUGGCUUCCAGGGUCUCGGAGGAGGGGAGCCCAGAGGCCACGGAGGUGGCAGGCAGCUGGGGGCCGGUGGCUCUUAAUUCUUGGGUGCUGAAGGGUAGAGAGACGGAGGUUUCAGUGGGCUCCCAGCAGGCAGCUGGUCCCUUGCCUUGCAAGGCGUUACCUCAGGGUGCUGGGCAGCCUGCACGGCCUGCUGCAGCCUUCACCCCAGGGCUGCGAGGCUGCUGUUAACAUACCGAGCAGCGUCCCUCUUCACACACAAAACUACAGAACUACACCUGCAAAGAUGUAAACUGUGAAAUUAAAAAGUAACCGCCGCUUGGUGUCGUUUGUGUUUUGCAUGCUAACAUAAUAAAUGAGAAGAGAAUUCAGAAGAAAAAAAAAAA